CAGCAGUAGGGUAGAGGCAGUAGUAGUUAGCAGCGGUAGUUAGCAGUAGUAGGUAGCAGCAGCAGUAGGUAGCAGCAGUAGGGUAGAAGCAGUAGUAGUUAGCAGCAGUAGGUAGCAGCAGUAGGUAGCAGCGGCAGGUAGCAGCGGUAGAGUAGCAGCGGUAGGGUAGCAGCGGCAGGUAGCAGCAGUAGAGUAGCAGUGGCAGGUAGCAGCGGCAGGUAGCAGCGGUAGAGUAGCAGCGGAAGGGAAGCAGCGGUAGGUAGCAGCGGUAGAGUAGCAGCGGUAGGGUAGCAGCGGUAGGUAGCAGCGGUAGGGUAGGAGCGGCAGGUAGCACCGGCCGGUAGCAGCGGUAGGGUAGCAGCGGUAGAGUAGAAGCGGUAGGGUAGAAGCGGUAGGGUAGAAGCGGUAGGUAGCAGCAGUAGUAGUUAGCAGCGGUAGGUAGCAGCGGCAGGUAGCAGCAGUAGAGUAGCAGCGGCAGGUAGAAGCUGCAGGUAGCAGCAGUAGAGUAGCAGCGGAAGGGAAGCAGCGGUAGGGUAGCAGCGGUAGGUAGCAGCGGUAGGGUAGAAGCGGCAGGUAGAAGCGGCGGGUAGCAGUGGUAGGGUAGCAGUGGUAGAGUAGCAGUGGUAGGGUAGCAGUGGUAGGGUAGAAACGGCAGGUAGAAGCGGUAGGGUAGGAGCAGCGGUAGGUAGAAGCGGUUGGUAGCAAUGGUAGGGUAGCAGCAGCGGUAGGGUAGAGGCAGCAGUAGGUAGCAGCAGUAGGGUAGCAGCAGCAGUAGGUAGCAGCGGCAGGUAGAAGCGGUAGGGUAGUAGCGUUAGGGUAGCAGCGCCAGGUAGAAGUGGUAGGGUAGAAGCAGCGGUUGGUAGCAGUGGUAGGGUAGCAGCGGCAGGUAGCAGCGGCAAGUAGCAGCGGUAGGGUAGAAGAGGUAGGGUAGCAGCGGUAGGGUAGCAGCGGUAGGGUAGUAGCAGUAGGGUAGCAGAAGUAGGUAGCAGCAGUAGGGUAGCAGCAGUAGGGUAGCAGAAGUAGGGUAGCAGCAGUAGGGUAGUAGAAGUAGGGUAGCAGCAGUAGGGUAGAAGCAGUAGGGUAGAAGCAGUAGGGUAGCAGCAGUAGGUAGAAGCAGUAGGUAGCAGCAGUCGGUAGCAGCUGUAGGGUAGAAGCAGUAGGGUAGCAGCAGUAGGUAGCAGCAGUAGGUAGCAGCAGUAGGGUAGCAGCAGUAGGUAGCAGCAGUAGGGUAGCAGCAGUCGGUAGCAGCAGUAGGGUAGCAGCAGUAGGUAGCAGCAGUAGGUAGCAGCAGUAGGGUAGCAGAAGUAGGGUAGCAGCAGUAGGGUAGCAGCAGUAGGUAGCAGCAGUAGGUAGCAGCAGUAGGGUAGCAGAAGUAGGGUAGCAGCAGUAGGGUAGAAGCAGUAGCAGUAGGGUAGCAGCAGUAGGGUAGCAGCAGUAGGGUAGAAGAAGUAGGUAGCAGCAGUAGGGUAGCAGAAGUAGGGUAGCAGCAGUAGGGUAGAAGCAGCAGGGUAGAAGCAGCAGGGUAGCAGAGGUAGGGUAGAAGAAGCAGGGUAGCACAGUAGAUAGCAGCAGGGUAGCAGCAGUAGGGUAGAAGCAGUAGGGUAGGAGCAGUAGGGUAGAAGCAGCAGGGUAGCAGAAGCAGGGUAGAAGCAGUAGGGUAGAAGAAGUAGGGUAGGAGUAGUAGGGUAGAAGAAGCAGGGUAGCAGAAGCAGGGUAGCAGAGGUCAGUAAGUUGUCGUGUUGUCGUGUUGAAACAACUCCGCCAGGUCGAUCAUUUAGCUAGCUAGCGACAUUGUUUGUGAUAUCGAAAGUCAC
rnacentral:lncRNA from 1 species